UAAACCAGUUUAAGGUUUUCUGCACAGACCCUGGCUUUUCUUAAAUUUUUAUAUAUUGGAAAGCCCGCGUUUGUAUUGGAACUUCUGGUUUC
rnacentral:pre_miRNA from 1 species